rnacentral:lncRNA from 1 species
GAGGGGAGCAAUGGAACGUGUUUAAGAAUGAAAUUGAGUUGCUCUGCCAGCUUCGUCACCCUAAUAUUAUCUCUCUUACUGGAUUCUGCAACCACAAGAAAGAGAAGAUUGUUGUGUUGGAGUACAUGCCCAAUGGAUCUCUGUAUGAUCACCUACAACGUGGGGAACUGUCAUGGAAGAAGAGGCUAGAGAUAUGCAUAGGAGCAGCAAGGGGAUUGCACUACCUUCAUGCUGGAGCAAAGCGCACCAUCAUUCAUCGUGAUAUCAAACCUCAGAACAUUCUUUUGGAUGCAAACAUGGAGCCAAAGCUUUCAAAUUUUGGGCUUAGCUUACAGGGACAACGUUUUAUGUCAAAGCCAAAGCCAAUUAAAGUAGAUACUAUUGCUGGUAAAGUUUUAUUUUAUGACUUUACUUACUGUAAUGAAAUUUUGUGAGUUAAACUAAGAUAAUACUUUCAUUUAUAGGUACUUUUGGCUACUUGGCUCGGGAGUGUUUCAUGAACAGUAUCGUCUCAGAUAAAACCGAUGUUUACUCAUUUGGUAUUGUUCUAUUACUAGUUGCGUCUGGAAGAGCGUAUUCUGACAUGAUAAAGGAAUUUCUGGAGAAGCCUCUUGAGGAGAAUAUUGAUUUGGAGAUCAAAGGAAAGAUUGUGCCAGAGUGUUGGAAAGUGUUUAUAGAUAUCAUGCAAAGAUGUGUGGAUUCUGAAGCAGAAGAACGACCAACAAUGGGUGAAGUGGAGGUGCAACUUCAGUAUGCUCUGUCGUUGCAAGAACAAGCAGAUAUCACAAACAUCCAUCAUCAUUAUAUCUUAUUGUCAAAAACCAUUAUUAACCCAACAUCUUAACAUAAAAGAGCAAUAAAAACAUUCACUUCACACUUUAAUAAAUUAAUAUUUUUAUUUAUUUAUUUUGUUUUAUAUUAUAAACAUUGUAGGAUUUAGGGUUAUAAAUAUUGUCAAUAUAUGUUUUUUAUUUUUAUUUUUAUAGUAUAAAACAAAUUUUUCUGUUCUUGUAAAUCUAUAACAUGAAAAAAUACAUGUUUUUUUUAUUCUUUAUUGUUUGUGGUGUCAACAUAUCACCAUUCCUAUUAUACUCAAUAACUUUUAAUAAUUGUUUCUGAUCUAUUAAAAAAUUAUAUUUUCUAUGUGUAUAAUUAAAAAUUAUUGUAAAAAAUAUUAAGUGAUGAAAUUUUUUUGUCUUUUGAAUACAAAGAAGCUCGUGAAUAUGCGUCAUGACUUCUUAUUUAAAAUUAUUUAUAGUAAGGUUUAGACGUUCCUCUAUCAUUUUCUCUUAAAAAUUUAUAGUACCUAGAGUUUGAAGUCUUAUUUAUAAACGCAAUUUCUUUAUUUACAAUAAAAUCAUAUUUAUCGUAUAAGACAUAUCUACAAAUAUAAUAUUUUAAAAAAUUACUUUUUAAGUAAUUUUUAACGAAAUCUCACUACAAUAAAAUUAUGAAAUAGAAAUCAAUUUUAGAGAAAAAAAAAAUUAGUUGCUAUAGUGACUAAAUUAUAGACUAUUUUAGGGACUAAAUAAAUUUUUGAUUUCUAAAUUAAUUUAUAUUCUUGUUAAAUGAUUUUAAAUUGGUAUCUAAUUAACAACCAAAAUUUUUGUUACCAAAUUUAGAAUCUAAAUAAUUGGUAGUUAAAACUUUGAUAGUUAAUUAGAUACGAGAAACUAUUUAACAAUAAUAUAAACUAAUUUAGAAAUUAUUAUUUUUAAUUUUUAAAAUGUUUCUAAUUUAAUUAUUAUUGUAACUAAUGUCAAAGCCAAAGCCAAUUAAAGUAGAUACUAUUGCUGGUAAUGUUUUAUUUUAUGACUUUACUUACUGUAAUGAAAUUUUGUGAGUUAGACUAAGAUAAUACUUUCAUUUAUAGGUACUCUUGGCCACAUGGCUGAGGAGUAUUACCUGAACGGUAUCGUCUCAGAUAAAACCGAUGUUUACUCAUUUGGUAUUGUUCUAUUACAAGUUGCGUGUGGAAGAACGUAUUCUGACCUGAUAUUGGAAUUUCUGGAGAAGCCUGCUGAGGAGAUUAUUGAUUUGGAUAUCAAAGGAAAGAUUGGGCAAGAGUGUUGGAAAGUGUUUAUAGAUAUCACCCAAAGAUGUGUGAAUUAUGAAGCAGAAGAGCGACCAACAAUGGGUGAGGUAGAGCUGCAACUUGAGUAUGCGCUGUCCUUGCAAGAACAAUCAGAUAUCUCGAACAUCCAUGAUCAUUAUAUCUUAUUGUCAAAAACCAUUAUUAACCUACAUGGCCUGCAAGAUUAUUGUAAGACACCAUGAAAAGUAAAAACAUCCACUUCAUACUUUAAUAAUUAAUAUUUUAUUUUUUAAUUUAAAAUAUUAUUAUAUUAUUAUAAACACUGUCAAUGUAUGUUUUUUUUUUUUUAUGAUCUCAAAGCAACUUUUCUGUUCUUGUAAAUCUAUUAUACUCAAUAAUUUAUAAUAAUUGUUUCCGAUCUAUUAAAAAAUUAUAUUUUCCAUGUGUAUAAUUAAAAAUUAUUCUAAAAAUAUUAAGUGAUGGAAAUUUUUUGUCUUGGAAUACAAAGAAGCUCGUGAUCAUAUGCGUCAUGACUUGUUAUUUAAAAUUAUUUAUACUAAGGUUUAGUAGUUCCUCUAUCAUUUUCUUUCAAAAUUUUAUAGUACCUACAGUUUGAAGUCUUAUUUAUAAACUCAAUAUCUUUACAAUAAAAUUAUAUUUUUCAAAUACGACUUACUCACAAGUAUAAUAUUUUUAAAAUUUACUUUUUUAAGUAAUUUUCAACUAAAUCUACAUCACUUUUGUAACAAAAUCUCUCUUUUUCUUUUGAUUAAUGAUAUCUUACACCCAUUACAUUCCUUUAAUAUCUAAAUAAAUUAUUAUUUUAUUAUAAUAUAACAUUUUAUUCUAAAAAUCAGUUAUGAAAUAGUUAUUUUUACUAUAAACAUAGUGUGAAAUAGAUUUUCUUUCUGACUCAUUUACGUGUUUCCCUGUUUCAUAAGAAAGAAGUCAAAGAGUGUUUAUUAGUAUUAAAAGGUCGAUUUGGAUAUUUGUAUAUAUAUUAAAAAACAACAUUGUCUAUUAUCGUUGGAUACUUCCUCUGGGCUGAACUUGUGUGCUUGGAACGGUUGAACCCCACACAUUUGACAAACAUUGUUCAAGUUUGUGAUACCGUCUUCAUUAAUUACUCGUCAUCAAGUUACUUUCCCAGUAGCAUUCAUCUCUGUUUUGGUUUCAUUUACGCGUUUCCUUUUGAAAAAGAAGAUGAAAACGUGUUGCACAAUAGUCCAUAUGAGACUUCUUCCUUAUCCCAUCAUUCAUCUGUCAUAUAUGAAAUGGUCAAUUAGGACGGCGUUUAGAAAUAAUUUUAAUCCUUUUUGUUUGUUUCUUCCACUGUCAGUAAUGAAAUAAUUUCAUUGUUUGUAAUAAAUAUAUUAUGAGAAAGAAAUGUGUAGGGCCAAAACAUGGAAGCUCUGAGAAACUCAAAGGAAUAGGCAAUGAAAGAAGACAGGGUUGCCAAAUGUGAAUUAUAUAUUAGAAACUAGAGACAACCAUAGGAGUAAAGAAAUUAGGAACAAGAAUGUUUCUCAAAUAUUGUGGCUUCUGCCAUUCUAAGCGCACAAGUUCACGUCAGUAUACAACAAGAAUAGAAGAGUUGUGCCAUCACUUCUCUCUUGCCGAUAUUAGUAAAUCAACCAACAACUUUGAUCAGAAUAGGCUCAUUAACUUUGAAGGAUUUGGUAUCGAAGUAUAUAAAGGCUGUCUUCAGCAUGAUGGUUCUGAUUAUACAGUCACUAUAAAGCGAUUUAAUGACGAUGUGGAUAAAAGAGAGAAGCAAUGGAACCUGUGUAAGUUUAAGAAUGAAAUUGAGUUGCUCUGCCAGCUUCGUCACCCUAAUAUUAUCUCUCUUACUGGAUUCUGCAACAAAAAGAAAGAGAAGAUUGUUGUGUACGAGUACACGUCCAAUGGAUCUCUGUGUAGUCACCUGCAACGUGGGGAACUGUCAUGGAAGAAGAGGCUAGAGAUAUGCAUAGGAGUAGCAAGGGGAUUGCACUACCUUCAUGCUGGAGCAAAGCGCACCAUCGUUCACCGUAAUAUUCACCCUGGCAACAUCCUUUUGGAUGCAAACAUGGAGCCAAAGCUUUCAGAGUUUGGCCUUAGCUUACAGGGACAACGUUUUAUGUCAAAGCCAGAGCCAAUUAUAGUUGAUACUAUUCCUGGUAAUGUUUUAUUUUAUGACUUUACUUACUGUAAUGAAAUUUCUAAGAUAAUACUUUCAUUUAUAGGUAUUUUAGGCCACAUGGCUCCGGAGUAUUUAAUGAACCAUAUCGUCACAGAUAAAACCGAUGUUUACUCAUUUGGUACGGUUCUAUUAGAAGUUGUGUGUGGAAGAAUGAAUUUUGACAUGACAGAGGAAUUUCGGGUGAAGUCUGUUGAGGAAAAUAUUGAUAUGAAUAUCAAAGGAAAGAUUGUGCCAGAGUGUUGGAAAGUGUUUAUAGAUAUCCUCCAAAGAUGUGUGGAUUAUGAAGCAGAAGAGCGACCAACAAUGGGUGAAGUAGAGGUGCAACUUGAGUAUGCUCUGUCGUUGCAAGAACAAGCAGAUAUCACAAACAUCCAUCAUCAUUAUAUCUUAUUGUCAAAAACCAUUAUUAACCCACAUCCUAUUAUAAAAGAAGAAUAAAAACAUUCACUUCACACUUUAAUAAAUUAAUAUUUUAUUUUUAUUUAUUUUGUUUUAUAUUAUAAACAUUGUCAAUAUAUGUUUUUUUUUAUUUUUAUAGUAUAAAACAAAUUUUUCUGUUCUUGUAAAUCUAUAACAUGAAAAAGAUCUCUUUGACACACGGUAAAAACAUAUACAUGUUUUUUUUAUUCUUUAUUGUUUGUGGUGUCAACAUAUCACCAUUCCUAUUAUACUCAAUAACUUUUAAUAAUUGUUUCUGAUCUAUUAAAAAAUUAUAUUUUCUAUGUGUAUAAUUAAAAAUUAUUGUAAAAAAUAUUAAGUGAUGAAAUUUUUUUGUCUUUUGAAUACAAAGAAGCUCGUGAAUAUGCGUCAUGACUUCUUAUUUAAAAUUAUUUAUAGUAAGGUUUAGUAAUUCCUCUAUCACUUUCUUUUAAAAUUUUAUAGUAGAGUUUGAAGUCUUAUUUAUAAAUGCAAUUUCUUUACAAUAAAAUCAUAUUUAUUGUAUGUCUUAAUUUACUUUUUUAAGUAAUUUUCAACGAAAUCUACAUCACUUUUGUAACAAAAUCUAUCAGUAAUGAUAUCUUACACCCAUUAUAUUCCUUUGAUAUUUAAAUGAAUUAUUAUUUUAUUAUAAUAUAACAUUUUACUCUAAAAAUCAAUUAUAGAAUAGUUAAUUUUACUAUAAAUAUAAUGUGAAAGAGACAUUAUUCUUUUCUUUCUGUCUCAUUUACGUGUUUCCCCGUUUCAUAAGAAAGAAGUGAAAGGGUGUUAUCACAAUCUCUGAAUUUCUGCUUCUGCAACUUCCCUUUAUUGAAAAAAAAACAAAGUAUAAAAUGUCUUUGCAGGUUGAAAAUACCUCAGAGCCUUGCAAGGGAAGAAAAUAGGGAAAUAUGAAGAGAAAGUAUGACAAAGUCCAAUUCAUAUUUAUAUUUAUCCUUCAAACUUAUACUCUCUAAUUUAAUAUUAAUAAAAAUUCAAUGUCAAAAAAUAACAAUUUUCUUCUUGCCAAAAAAUAUAAAAACAUGAUUUUUUGAAUGUUUUCUUCCUUAUCGUCCACACCUCAUCUUGUAUAAUAAAUCAAAGAUUUCACAUCAUUAAAUGUUCCGUUAAAAGAUGAAUUCCUGGUAAGAACACUAACUUAGUUUAAUUAGUUCUAGAAAUUUAAAGUCACAUAAACUUGUAUUUUUAAUGAGAAAAGGAAAGGACAAUAAAUAUUGAACUACCAAAGAACGAAGGUGAAGACUUGAUAAAAUUAUUAUGAACAUUUAUUUGGACGCAAUGGGAUGCUUCCAUAGGUAUUUUCUUUCAACUUCAACAUUUCGUCACUUAUAGCACUUAUUAUUCAGCUUUUAUAUCAGCUUCUAUCAAUGCCAGAAGGAUAGAAAGUUACAUAUUUUGUUAGCAACUAUGGUUUCUAGCCACAAAUAUUUAUUCUCCUUAAUAUAUAGAUAAUUACAUGACUUGUUGACUCACUAUAAAUACAAAAAUUUCAAUCUAUUUUGUAUUUCUAUAAUUUUGUAAACUUUUUAAUUUUACAAUGAUUAAAUAUAUCAUAUUAAUUUCAUGUUUCAGUUUUCUGAAAUUAAACAAUUUUGACAUUUUAGUAAAACAUUCAUCAACAAAAAAUUAAUUACUUGUUUUUAGAAUAUUAUUAUGAAUAUUUAAUUAUAAACUUUAUAUAUUUUAUUAUAAAAAUACCUUAGCCUUUUCUUUUAUAACCUAUUCAUAAUAUUGAAUAGAAACAAACAAUAAAAAAAUUAAAUUUAUCACAAAAUUAUAAAAUAUUUUAUAAUGAGAAUAUAUGUGUGUAUAAUGCAUCAUAUAUAUAUAUAUAUAUAUACCACCUCAUUGAGCUGAUUUUAUGGGGUUGAGUUAGACUUAAAGUUCACUUCAUAAUAUAGUAUCAGAACCAUUUCAAACUAAUCCUAACGAAUGUUUAUGUUGGGUCUAUCGUGUCACCCGUUAUCGGGCCGCUAUUAGAUCAUCCAUAAUAUAUAGUCUCACGCAUGAGUUGACCGUCUCGGCGUGAGGGGUGUGUGUUGGAGAUCCCACAUCGACUAACUCAAUCCCAUAAAACCGGCUCAAGGGUUGAAGUUUGCACCCACUUAUAUACAAUGAAAUGUCUUAAUUUUUAUUCGGAUCUUCAACAAAAACUAUCAUAUGUUUGAGACUCUCUCUAACAAAAUAUAAUUUACAUAAUGCUAAAAUCAAAGAAGAAAAAACUUUUUAUAUUAAUUCUUUUACUAUGAGUUGAGGAGCAAGACGAAGAUCUCAAUCCUGAUCAUUAUAUCAAACUCCUUGUCUUGCUUGCAGCCCAACCCGCACCAGCCAUGAAGAAUAUGCACCAAAGUAGAACUGCAUUAGAUGCAAGUAAAUACAUUAUUCAAUGAUUAAUUAAUAAUAUGAAAUUGUGUAUGAUAUCACCAUUUUUAUUUUUUUUUAAGUUACUUAUUCAUUAUUUAGCUAAAUUUCCUUUGCAAAAUUGUCAUUCAUUUUCAAGUUUCUUGCAUGUUUUAUUUUUAUCUGUUAACUCAACGUAUUUUUACCAUCAUAAUCUUGAGUUCUUUUAUUUUAUUGAAAUUCCACAUUUGCUUUUGAUUUAUAAUAUAAGAAUGAUUAACUUCUACUUACUUUUCAAUCAAACGGUUAGUUUCUUAGUUAUAAUUACUAAUGUAAAAAGAACUAUUUACAUUAUAAUAGAAAUAUUGUAAUUUUGUGAAACUUUUCUAGCGUUACAACUCUUAAUAUUAUUAUUUUAAUAGUUUUUCAUAUCAUUUAAUUAUAAAAAAAAAAACUCAAACUUUCUUUCAUAUAUAUAAGUAAAUCACAAUCACAUCCUGACUUUUUAAAAAAAAAAUUACACACUAAUUACAUCUGUUUUCAUCGUUACAGUGUUUUUUUAUCAAGGGAAAUGCAAUAUAUUUAAAAGAAACAAGAGACUUGAGUGAAGUUUUAAAGGCACAUAUUCGAAUGUAAUUUUUAAAAAAAUAAAAUUCAAAUGAAUCUAAUUUACUUUUCUUUAUUCCAACCAUUAUUUCUUUUUCUUAUGAUACACCAAACUCCACCAGAACUUGAAUAACCUCAAUCAGCGUCCCUUUGGAUCCUUAAUCUCAGAAAAAACAAGCUCUGAGAUCAACCUGUCAGAUGCCUUACUCCCGUAGGUUGUACUGUUGAAUCCACUGCUGUUACUAUAGUCUGAAGCAUGAACACUAGUAUGGGUGCUGCUAAACAUGUCCUCAGUAGAACUGUCUUCAUAAUCCCCACCACUUUCCAACACUGCAUUCACAUUAGCACUAUUCUGAAGCUGAAGUCGCAGAACAAACUCUAACACCCCAACCACGUCGUUCAUGGAAGGUCGCUGAGUCCCAUCCUCAAGCAAACAGCUCAACGCAACCUCACCAAAUUUGCGCAAACAGUGAGGUGCUAUCUGCCCCUUCAAUGCUGGAUCCACAAUGUCACCCAGAGACCCCUUCUCAUACCAAUGCUUCGCCCAAUCCACAAGUGACACCUGUGGCUUCUCUACCAUUCGGAGCAAAGGCUGCCUCCCACACAAUACCUCCAACAGCACCACCCCAUACGAGUAAACGUCCGACUUCUCCGUCAAACGCUGUCGUUUGUAAUACUCCGGAUCCAAAUACCCAAUACUGCCUUUCACCUGAGUGCUCACAUGGGUCAUCAAAGAACCCAUGGGCCCAAUUCGAGAUAACCCGAAGUCUGAAACCUUCGCCACCCAUUUUUCAUCCAACAAGAUGUUAGUGCUCUUCACGUCACGGUGAAUGAUCAUUUGUUUCGCACCUGUAUGCAGAUAAUGCAGUCCUCGUGCGGCGCCGAUGCAUAUUUGAAGCCUUUGAUUCCACGAGAGCGGAGGGUUAUCGGUUCCGUAGAGAUGAUCACGGAGGGUUCCGCGAUCCAUUAAAUCGUAAACGAGUAAACAGAAUUCACACACCUUUGGGUGAUAUCUAUAAACACUUUCCAACACUCUGGCACAAUCUUUCCUUUGAUAUCCAUAUCAAUAUUCUCCUCAACAGGCUUCUCCAGAAAUCCAUCUAUUUCCAUCAAUGCAAAAUACAUUCUUCUCCAGACUACUUCAAGAAGAAGCAUACCAAAUGUGAAAACAUCACAUUUAUCUGUGACGAUAGUGUCUCUGAAGUACUGCAUAGGAUGGUAGCCAUAACUACCUACAAUUAAAAUGAUUAGCUUUGUUUAACUCACAAAAAGUUCAUAGCAGUAAUGUCUUCAAAUAAAAUAUUACCCCAAGUAUAUGAACAUCUAUUGGAAUUGCUUUUGGCUUUGACAUAAAUCGUGCUCCCUGUAUGCUACGGCCGAAACCUGCUAGUUUUGGCUCCGUGUGGUCGUCCAGAAGAAUGUUUGAGAGACAAACGUUUUUUCACCAAAAUGGUGCAUUUUUUUUUUCAUAUUUACCUAAAUAGGUAAAAAUAGAAAAAAUUACAGAAAUGAACAAUUUUUUUUUUAAAGUUGUAUGGUGUAGGCAAUAUCAAUUAAAUUUGUUAAUCUGUUUACUUUUUAUUUUUUAACUAAAGUUUCUAACUGGAUUGACAACUUCCGUUUAAAUAAAAUUGGAUACUGGGUUGACAAUUUCACUCCAUUGAAGUUGUCGGUUGACAAGUUCAGUUGAUUUUUUUUAAAUAAUUAAUUUAAAAUAAAAAUAAAAAUUUAUAUAAUAAUAAUUUUUUAAAUUAAAACUAAAAAAAAUUAAAACUAAAUUUUUGUUUUCACAAGAAACAAAGUUACCCAAAAUUAAGUUGGAUUAAAAAUAGGUUGUGUAAUAAAUGUAAAAUAUUUAGUAUUUUUUAAAUAAUGUUAAAAUUAAAAAUACUUUUAUUGUUUUAAAAAAAAUUGAAAUUAUGUUCGUAAAAUAACGUUGAUAGUUGAUAUAGUUAUAGAUAAAUAGGGUAGCGUUUAAACAAUAUUUAUAAAAUGAUAAAUAAGUACAAUUCAUACAUAAUUAUAAAAUAAAGAUGUAGGAAAAGUUGUCAUCUAUGUGAAGUUGUGCCGCAUGGUGGUCUUCUUUGUUGUCUUCGUAGUCGUUGUUGUGGUUGUUGUUCGGAUGGAAGGGUAGGAGGGGCUGGAGGUGGAAUGUCAUCGUCAGUGCCUUCGACUUCAUUAUCAUCAUUUUGAUUUUCGGACACCUGUGAAGGCAUUGUUGGUCGAUAAUACUGCAUGGAUGACAUUGGAUUGUAGGCAGAUGGGGGGGUCAUGGUAGAGGUUGCAAAUGGAUUUGAUGGACCAACAAAAAAUUGUUGUUGAGAUGGAGAUGUUGAGUAGUUGAAAGGUGGUUGAUGGACCACUUCCAAGCUCUUCGACUUCCUUGUCAUCACGUUAUUACCGUUUGUUCCUCUUGUCAUUUACAAAUAAAGACAUUCAGUGAUCCGGUUUUCAACCUCCACACGAUUAGAAAGACAUAUCAAGUUGAAUUUCAUUCCGUUUGAAACGAGGAUUAUUGGUCUACUUAUACCAGACCAAAUUUCAUACCUUACCCCCACAUGCGAUGUAAAAUCUCGGAACGACCAAUUACAACUUGUUUGCAUAAUGAAAUGGAUCAACCAAUUCAAAACAAGCCAAAAAAAUGUUCUUACUGUCGCAAUGAAGGUCAUAACAGAGAAAAUUGUCCAUUUAGACAAUAGAAUCAUCCUUUGUAAUGUUGUUCUUAUCAAAUAUUUUAAUAUCAUCUCCUUUUAAUGACUUUUAUUCAAUAUUUUCAUUUAUUUUACAUAAAUACAUGUAUAUUAUUAUUUUUUACAUAUUAUAUAAUUUAUACUUUCAUGUAUUAUAUAAUCUAAAAUUUAUACAUAAAUCAUAUCACAUUUUUAUAAGUGUAUUUUUAACUUUAACAAUAUUUAAAAAAUAGUAAAUAUUUUUAAUUUAUCACACAACUCAUUUUUAACUCAAUUUAUUUAAAAUUAUUGUAAAAAAAAGUAAUUUUAAUUCUUCAACUUUAUAUACCAUUUUCUUAAAUAAAAUUAAAUUAAAUUUUGAUAUUAUAAUCAAAAUAAAAAUUUUAACUAUAUAUUUUUAUUUCCAGAAAUAUUAAUUGUCAUUUCUUUUAAAAAAAUCAAUUGAACUUGCCAACCGAAUUAUCAACUUCAAUGGAGUAAAAUUGACAAUCUAUGAUCCAAUUUUGUUUAAACUGAAGUUGUCAACACAGUUAGAAACUUUAAUUAAAAAUAAAAAAUAGACAGAUUAACAAAUUUAAUUAAUGUUACAUACACCAUUGGCAACUUUGACCAAGAAUUGCCCAUUUCUGUAUUUUUUUCUGCUUUUGCCCAUUUACGUAAAUAUGAAAAAAAAAAUGCACCAUUUUGGUGAAAAACCCGUGAAAGAUGGUGCGCUUGGCUCCAACAUGAAGGUAGUGUAGUCCACGAGCUACUCCUAUGCAUAUCUCUAUUCUUUUCCUCCAUGACAAGGAAAUUUUUUCAAAAUGUUAGCAAUUCAGUUUGAGUAUUACACAAAUGAAAACUUAUCGAAAUGUGCAUUUUUGAGUUAUAGAAAAAAUUUCUCACCUUGGCCAUGGAUUCAGCUCAAUUUCAAAUGAGAAAGUCACUAAAAGGGCUUGUCCACAUGCCUUUUACGAAAGCAGCAACGACCAUCUCCUCGUUUGGUGUGGAGAGUUGAACUGAGAAGGCGCAGUAACAAUUUAGGUAGUCUUUCAAAGAUUCGCCCUCCCUUUGUCUGAUAUCAAACAGGUCGGGUAGUUGAGGGAGGUCAACUUUGUUGACUGAGAACUUCUCUUAGAAAAUUCGUGAAAACUGUUGGAACGACGUUAUAUGUCCAUCUGGGAUGCUGCUAAACUAGUGGAGGGUCAUACUCGUGAACGUUCCCAUGAGCAUCUUACAACGAACAAUAUCUGAGUCGCCUGAUAUGAUCAUUUGGGCCCUAAACACCUUUAAGUGACUCUUAGGGUCCUCCACUUUUGAAAAAAGGAGUCAUCUUCGGGGUAAGAAAAUGCGGCAGGAUCAACUCGUCCAUUAUUUGCCUAGAGAAAGGCUGAGGGUCAUCCCUUGAAGACGAAUCUGGAGAGCAAACUCAGACAAUUCGUUGAUGAUAUCUUUGCAUGGUUUCACAGCUCUUUAUUAGCCUUUUGUAGCUCCUCAUUUACCCGUGUCUUUCCUCCAUCAUCUUAUGGGAUGCCUCUACUUCUCUUAGGAGAUGAUCCUGGUGGGCUCGGGCUUCCUCUCUCUGCCGCUCUUGUUCAACUCGGGCCUCGUCCCUCAGUUGUACAUGUUCGACUCGUGUCUCUUCUCUAAGUCGAUCAUGUUCGACCCGAGCCUCCUCCCUAAGAUGCUCUUGCUCAGUUUGUGCUUCUUCCCGAAGGCGAUCUUGCUUCCUACGAUCAUUAGCUUGCUGAAGGAUUCUCAUUGUCUCCAUAAUUUGUUGCAACAUGGGGACCUCGUCUCCGUCGGGCACUUGAGCUCCUUGUCCCGUGUUUCUCAUCUUGUGCGUUGGCGUGGAUGAACUCGUGUUGGUAGGUAGUGGGAUCAAUUUUACAUGUUUCACAGUGAGGGCCAAAUAUUCUUGUUGAGUGACCUGGGUCAAGCAGUAGUGGUGGUGGUUACACUCCGACAGUGAGAACACUUGUAUAUUUGAAUGUAGUGUAAGAUAGCGUAGAGUUAACUUACAUGGUGACUAGGGUCUCAGGUCCCUUUUAUAGUAGUCGUCAAGCAUUGAUAAGUGUAUAAUUUAUCCGUUAAUACUCUCCUUUAUAUUUUGGGAUUAUAUCUUUGUAGAGUAUCGUCUCUAACUACGUCUCUUUUCUUUCUCCUCUUUUCAACCAUUUCUCCUCUUUUCAACAACUAACUGAAUCAGAUAAAAUAUUCUUCUGAUGUUUGGGCCGUGUUAAUUUUACCAAAAAUGAACGUUCUUUUUUACAUACUAAAACCUUAUCGUAUUUGGACCGAUUUCUAAAGUCAUGGUGUGCUCGACAUGUAUCACUCUGACUGAUGGACUAGGGACCGAAAUGUUCAAACUAUGAGCAUAGCAUACCGGGAUAGGAACAGAGACUCAAUAUACCAAAGAAUACAAAAAAACAUUCUUACCUAGGAUGCAAAAAUUAGACCCUCUAAAAAAACUACAAUUAUAUUUUAGUUCUUUAAAAAGUAAUUUAAAGAACCUUAAGUAUAAGUAUCUUUAAAGCUGGAUCAUACUUAAGAUUAUAAAUAAAAUACAUCUUAAAAAUAUCUCUUUUACCAAUAAAUAUAAAUAAAAAAUUAGUAAAUCGUGAAUCUUAUAAAAAUUAUAUAUUAAAAUAAAAGUUGAAAGAAGAUAUUGGAAAUAAUAUGACAGAAUUACAUCCAUAAAAAAAGUAAAUGUUCAUCUCUGUUUUGGUUUCAUUUACACGUUUCCCCUUUGAAAAAGAAGAUGAAAACGUGUUGCACAAUAGUCCAUAUGAGACUUCUUCACUAUCCCUUCAUUCAUCUGUCUUAUAUGAAAUGGUCAAUUAGGACGGCGUUUAGAAAUAAUUAAUUUUAAUCCUUUUAGUUUGUUUCUUCCACUGUCAACCCCACUCUGCGCUAUAUCUGUAACUGAUUUAGCUUGAAAAACAAACUUUGGAUCAAAAGACUACAUUGAAAAACAAUGUAAUAAAUAUAUUAUGUGAAAGAAAUGUGUAGGGCCAAAACAUGGAAGCUCUGAGAAACUCAAAGGAAAUAGGCAAUGAAAGAAGACGGGGUUUCCCAAUGUGAAUUAUAUAUUAGAAACUAGAGACAAUCAUAGGAGUAAAUAAAUUAGGAACAAAAAUGUUUCUCAAAUAUUGGGGAUUCUGCCAUUCUAAGGGCACAAGUUCACGUCAGUAUACAACAAGAAUAGAAGAGCUGUGCCAUCGGUUCUCUCUUGCCGAUAUUAGGAAAUCAACCAACAACUUUGAUCAUGAGUGGCUCGUUGACCGUUUAGGAUUUGGUGUUGAACUAUACUGUGGCUGUCUUCAGCAUGACGGUUCUGAUUAUACAGUCAUUAUAAAGCGAUUUAAUAAGAAUGUGUAUGAAAGAGGGGAGCAAUGGAACCUGUUUAAGAAUGAAAUUGAGUUGCUCUGUCAGCUUCGUCACCCUAAUAUUAUCUCUCUUACUGGAUUCUGCAACCACAAGAAAGAGAAGAUUGUUGUGUACGAGUACAUGCCCAAUGGAUCUCUGCAUCAUCACCUACAACAUGGAGAACUGUCAUGGAAGAAGAGACUAGAGAUAUGCAUAGGAGCAGCAAGGGGAUUGCACUACCUUCAUGCUGGAGCAAAGCGCACCAUCAUUCAUCGUGAUAUCAAAUCUCGCAACAUUCUUUUGGAUGCAAACAUGGAGCCAAAGCUUUCAGAUUUUGGCCUUAGCGUACAGGGACAACGUUUUAUGUCAAAGCCAAAGCAAAUUAAAGUAGAUCAAGUUGCUGGUAAUGUUUUAUUUUAUGACGUUACUUACUGUAAAGAAAUUUUGUCAGUUAGACUAAACUAAUACUUUCGUUUAUAUAGGUACGUAUGGCCACUUGGCUCAAGAGUAUGUCCUGAACGGUAUUGUCACAGAUAAAACCGAUGUUUACUCAUUUGGUAUUGUUCUAUUAGAAGUUGUGGCUGGAAAGUAUUUUGACAUAUUAGAAAUAGAGGAAUUUCUGAAGAAGCCUUUUGAGGAGAAUAUUGAUUUGGAUAUCAAAGGAAAGAUUGUGCAAGAGUGUUGGAAAGUCUUUAUUGAUAUCAUCCAUAGAUGUGUGAAUUCUGAAGCAGAUGAGCGACCAACAAUGGGUGAGGUAGAGACGCAACUUGAGUAUGCUCUGUCCUUGCAAGAACAAGCAGAUAUCACAAACAUCCAUGCUAAUUAUAUCUUAUUGUCUAAAACUAUUAUUAACAUAGGUGUUAUCUCAUAUAGUAUUUUGGAUUGGAUAGUUUGUAAUUACAAAAAACAAUAAAUAGUGUGGACUAGAGAUAGACACAAAUAGCCAAAAAUCUAUGCAAAAUCAUUGUUGUCAUAGGCCUACCGUUUUCGAAAAAAUGGAAGCUAAUACCUUAGAUGCUAACAUUUUUGUGUAGGUCCCAACGACUAACGUAAUUUGAAUAGGCUAAACCUACUCAAUAUGGAUGCUACAUCAUUUUAGCCGUCACAAAGUUAACACUAUUAUUUUAUAAUUUUAAAUAAGCGUAAAUUUAGCUUACGCUUCUUGGUCACUAAAUUAAAGUUAUAAAUGAGUUUGACCGACAUUAUAAGAAAAUAAUUUAAAGGACGUUUCUUCUUGCACCUCUACACUUUUCUUCCUACACCCCUACAUUGUUCAAAAAUAUCGAAAUUACCCUUUACAGUUUUAGGUUUUUCCGAAAUAGUAAUUUUGUAAGCAAAGGAUUAGAACAUCUUUUCUAUAACACAUUUUUUAUUUAUUUCCGUAUUUAUAAAUCUGGAAUUCAUAAAACAUGUUCUGAAAAAGACGUUCUGGAAAUAUUUCGAAAAACAAUCAAGAAGUCAUUUUUUAAAGGGAGCAAAACAGUCUUUUCUGAAAGUGAGGGGGUGCAUAAAAAAAAUUGUAAAGGUGCAGGAAGAAGUUGCCUAAUUUAAAAUGUAAGUGUGGCUUAGGCCCGCAGUGAAGUAAAAGAAAAUGUUAGUGUUUGAUGGGAGAGACUCAAGCACAAGCCCACAUGCAAGCCCACCAAAGGGUAGAUUUGGGCCAACCACUAGAGUUAUGGCCAAAAGGAUCCAAGAAGACGUUCUUUUACAUGUUCAAAUGUCAUAAACUCUAAUGUAUAAUAGACUUUAAUUUCUUGUCAAAAUUAUCAUAGGAACUUUAUUUGUAGUUUUUCUUAGAAUUAAUUUUGGCACCUAAAAACACCAACCUAGGUAAACUUAAGUUUCUAAAAAACCUCUAAAUUUACCAAGGUCGGUCUAGAAAGCCCAUGGAGGGGGUGAGCUUACAAACUACGCACACCCCUCCCUAUGUGCUCAUUUAGGCGUCACCUUUGGUAGGGAAUUCAUUUGAAUUUCCCUCCACUUUGUUUUGAAUUUCCAGCUCUCUAAACACUAUAAAUAAGAGGGCUUGACUCAUGUAUUUGCAAGAUUAAUAUACUUAGUGAAUUGCUGUCAAAUUUGAGCCAAUUUCAUUUCUUGCCCAAAACCUCUUAGGUUAGGUUAUUGAUCUUCAAUUCUCACCUUACUAAAAAGAGAUGGUCUCACCACUCUCAUUCCCUACCUAGCAUGCACCUUCAAGGUCACCAUACCUCUUAGGAGGACCUUGUCCGUUACAAUCCAUAGUGUUUCCAUUGAUCAUCAACUAAAUUUCCAAAUCAUGAAGGCACUUCUCCAUCAGUGUGGGUUAGAUCCACACAGACGGUGAAAUAAAAUAAAAAAAGAAAUUCAGAAAAUGUGCGGGACAUUUUGAAUAUUUGUAUAUGUGAAUGUAAAUAAAAAUAAAUUUAAAUAUAUUUCUCUAAAUUAAUACCAAAUUAAAUUUAAAUUAAUUUUCAAUGAAUCUAAAUCCAAUUUAAAUGAAUGUAAUGUCUCUAAUUCAUUGUAAUAAAAAAAUUACAAAAACAUUAAAUUACAAACAAAAAUAAAUAUUAAAAUUGAAUUAUAACACAUUAAUUGAAAUCCACAUUAAAACUGAAUUAAGUGUAACACAAAUCCAUUGUAAUUAAGAAAUAAAUUUACAAACAAUAUCAAAUUUACAAACAACACCAAAUUCCAAACUCACAAUUGAAGUUCUGGAACAUAGCUGGAAACAUCAAUUGGAAUUGGAAUGAAUUUUAAAAACCUGUAAAAAGAAUUAAAAAAUAAAUAAACUAAAUUUAUGAAACUCAUGUAGGAUAUAACUCAUACUUACCAACUUCUGUGAUCCAAUUUGUGGAACUUAGAAGAUAAAAAUUAGAAAGGUAAAGAAAAAACAUAAUUAUUUUAUUCCAUCACUUACCAAAAUUUCCUCAAUGUAUUCUCACACUUUUCUUCUUUUCAACAUAAUUUGAGGCAUUAUAUAUAAACAAAUGUUUUCUUUCUAGAUUUAUGUCUGUAUUUUUUCUUUACAAUAUAAUAUAAAACACCUGAUUCAUUGAGAGCAGUGUGUUGUGAUUCUUUGGUGUCAUCAUCGUCUUCCUCAUUCAAUUAUUGGACAAAGAUUGACCUUUCACUGGAUUAUGAACGGAGAUUGAAAAUGAAUGGAGAUAAGAGGAGUAACCCACAAUCAAAUUAGAAGGAAACUAGUUAUCAAGCCCCAGUUGAAGCUAAGUCUUUGUUUUCAUGGAUGUGAAUUUAAUCUAAAGGAAAGUGUAAAUCCAUUUCUUAAAGACAUCUUGUUCUACUUUUCAAAGAUCUUUUCCCAUCAAACAUAUGGGCAGGACCUAAGUCAAGCUCACAAAAAUUCAUAUACUAACUACCAUGCAGAAUCAAUCAAGUAUCAAAAUAACUAAUUAUAAUAUAUUUACAGUAUGAAGUAUUAUGUGUGCUAAGAUUGCUAAAUUUCAAAAUAUUUAAUAAAUUAAAUUUAAAAUGAUUUUUUUAUUAAAAUUAACAUGAUAACUGCAAACGCAGUGAAACCGUUUCUUUCAUUGAUCAAACUUAUUACAUGUUUUGUCCGCCUGUAAAAUUGGAGAAACCUCGGAAUAAUUAAUUAAUUACUAUUUUUUAAGCUUCAAUGAGAUAAGGUACAUCCGCAGAAAAGAAUCAGAUCUAAUGUAAUUUAUGCAGGAUUAACUGCAUUGCAGAGUAUUAGAGAACUGAACUAUGGCUAACCAAAUUGAAAAGGCUUACAUGAGCUCAAGGACAAGAGCAGAUGCUCCUCCUCCCCCAUUGCAGAUGGUGGCACCACCAUACUUCACUCUCUUGUGUCUCAAGUUUCCUUCAUUAUAAUCCGAUCAUGUUUUCAGUUUCCAUUAAUUAAAUUUAUUAUUAUUUACACAUUUUUAAUCUCAUGAUUCAUAUUAAAAUAUAAUUAAAUAUUUUAGUGAUUCAUCUAUUAAAUAAAUUUAAUUAUUUUAUUUUAUUUGUAUGUAUUAAAUGAUAACCUAAAAAAUUAAUUUAUAAUAUGUCGCGAAAUAAAGAGUAAAAAGAAAUAAGUGGACCAAUGAAUAUAUUUAAUUAUAAAAAAAAAAUUCUAAAUGUAACACGAAGAUUUUUCAAAAAUGUUACUCUUUCUAGGACUACUCUUAUGCUUAAAAUUAUAAGCAAGGGAAUACUUCAUUGUCUAGGCACAAAAUUCUUAGAUAUUAUUCCUCGGUUGCUUCUACUGGUCAGAUCUUUAUAACUUUUUAAAAUGUAGACCAUAUUUGAAAGAAUAGAUUAACUAAAAUUGGAACUGGUUUUUCUGAACAUAAUAUAUUAAAAAAAGUUAGAGGAUUGAAUUCAUCAAUUUAAAAAUAUAAAAAUUAAAAACAUAUUUUCCAAUAUUUUAUAUAGGAUAAUCACCAAACCAUAGUUGAUAUUUACCUGUAUGAUCUAGUAAAUAUAUAAUUAUGAUAAUAUUUAUAUUAUUAAAACCCCUUGUUUAUUUGAAACAUUUAUUUUAUAAUAACAAUUUGAUUUACAUUUUUAAAGUAGAGAUCAAUCAGUUAACGAUAGUUAUACAUUUUUCAAUUAUUUUACAUAUAUGAUAUCGAAUUAAUCAGUGAUCCACAGUUCAAUAACGGAGUCAAUCUCUUUGAUCACACAGCUCUUUUAAAUAUUUAAUUUUUUUAUUAUAAUUGUAAACUAUAUAACUUAUAUACGAAAAUCAAAUUACAUCAUUUUGAUUAUCACACCCAAGCUUUUUAUUUUCUAAAAGAGAAAAAAUAUAUACGUGAAUUAAAGUUAAAAACUAGAAAAAUAAUAAAAUAGAUAAUCAUACGUGAUAAAUUAUAAAAGUAUUAUUAAUAACCAUUAUUAGUUGAUUAUAUAGAAUUUAUGCUCUUUAUUUACUUUAGAUAAAUAGUUCACAUUUAUUUAACUUCAAAGAAAUUAAGGUGCAAUGAUGCUUCCAUAGGUCUUUUCUUUGAACUUCAAUUUGUCACUUACAGCACUUAUUAUUCAGCUUUUAUGAUCUUCUAUCAAUGCCAGAAGGAUAGAAAAUUAUAUAUAUAUAUAUAUAUAUAUUUGUUUGCAACUAUGGUUUCUAGCCACACAUAUUUCUUCUACUUGCAUGACUUGCUCAUUGACUUGUUGGCUCACUAUAAAUAUAAGAAUUUCAAUCUAUUUUUUAUUUCUAUAAUUUUUUUAAGUUUACAAAGAUUAAAUAUAUCAUAUUAAUUUCGUGUUUCAGUUUUCUAAAAUUAAACAAUUUUGAUCUUUUAGUAAAACAUUCAUCAACAACAAAUUAAUUACUUGUUUUAGAAUAUUAUUGUUUAUAUUUAAUUAUAAACUUUACAUUUUAAUUAUAAAAAUACCUUAGCACUUUUUUUAUAGCAUAUUUAUAAUAUUUAAUAGAAACAAACAAUAAAAAAAGUUAAUGAAUCAUAAAAAUUAUAAAAUAUUUUACAGGGAGAACCACGAUUUCAAUGAAAAGGGUAAUUUAGUAAUUUGAAGAAAACACUACAAAAUUAUAAGUUAAUAAUCAACGUUAUAUUUUAAUUAAGGAAAUACAGAGAGUGUGAAUAAAAACAUUCUUACAUAGGAUGCAAAAAUUACACCUCUAAAAAACUACAAUUAUAUUUUUGGUUUCAUUUACGCGUUUCCCCUUUGAAAAAGAAGAUGAAAACGUGUUGCACAAUAGUUCAUGUGAGACUUCUUCCCUAUCCCUUCAUUCAUCUGUCUUAUAUGAAAUGGUCAAUUAGGACGGCGUUUAGAAAUAAUUAAUUUUAAUCCUUUUUGUUUGUUUCUUCCACUGUCAACCCCACUCUGCGCUGUAUAUGUACCUGAUUUAGCUUGAAAAACAAACUUUGGAUACAAAACACUACAUUAAAAAAUAGAUGUAAUAUUAUGAGAAAGAAAUGUGUAGGGCCAAAACAUGGAAGCUCUGAGAAACUCAAAGGAAAUAGGCAAUGAAAGAAGACGGGGUUGCCAAAUGUGAAUUAUAUAUUAGAAACUAGAGACAAUCAUAGGAGUAAAGAAAUUAGGAACAAGAAUGUUUCUCAAAUAUUGUGGCUUCUGCCAUUCUAAGCGCACAAGUUCAUGUCAGUAUACAACAAGAAUAGAAGACCUGUGCCAUCACUUCUCUCUUGCCGAUAUUAGGAAAUUAACCAACAACUUUGAUCAUACGAGGAUCAUUGACGACGUAUUUGGUAUCCGAGAAUAUAAAGGUUGUCUUCAGCAUGAUGGUUCUGAUUAUACAGUCACUAUAAAGCGAUUUAAUGACGAUGUGGAUAAAAGAGAGAAGAAAUGGAACAAGUUUAAGAAUGAAAUUGAGUUGCUCUGCCAGCUUCGUCACCCUAAUAUUAUCUCUCUUACUGGAUUCUGCAACCACGAGAAAGAGAAGAUUGUUGUGUGCGAGUACAUGCCCAAUGGAUCUCUACAUAGUCACCUACGACGUGGGGAACUGUCAUGGAAGAAGAGGCUAGAGAUAUGCAUAGGAGCAGCAAGGGGAUUGCACUACCUUCAUGCUGGAGCAAAGCGCACCAUCAUUCAUCGUGCUAUCAAACCUCGCAACAUUCUUUUGGAUGCAAACAUGGAGCCAAAGCUUUCAAAUUUUGGCCAUAGCUUACAGGGACAACGUUUUAUGUCAAAGCCAAAGCCAAUUAUAGUACAUACUAUUCCUGGUAAUGUUUUAUUUUAUGACAUUACUUGAUGAAAUUUUGGGGAUUUUAACCAUGAGGUAUUUUUUUUUUGCUUUUUACCAAAAUGAGGUCCGUUUAAAAAAAAUUACAAAUUUAGGCAAGUCGUGUCAAUUCGGCACGAUUUCAUAUGCAUAAAUCGUCUCAAUUAGAUACGACUCUGUCAUGUCAUACU